rnacentral:rRNA from 1 species
UACAGAGGUCCCAAGCGUUGUUCGGAUUCACUGGGCGUAAAGGGUGCGUAGGUGGCCAGGUAAGUCUGAUGUGAAAUCUCGGAGCUCAACUCCGAAACUGCAUUGGAUACUAUCCGGCUAGAGGAAUGGAGGGGAGACUGGAAUACUUGGUGUAGCAGUGAAAUGCGUAGAUAUCAAGUGGAACACCAGUGGCGAAGGCGAGUCUCUGGACAUUUCCUGAUGCUGAGGCACGAAAGCCAGGGGAGCAAACGGG